AAAUGGAAAAGAAAAGAAAAAACCGCUUACCGAGUUUGGAUUCGGGUGGCGGUUGAUGAGUUGCAAGUAGUGGAGCCAAAUCGCUGGCGUGGAAAGCUCCAGGGCUAAGCACAGCACAGAAGUUUUAGGAACUAAACGUCGACUUAUGGCCUGCUACUUCUCUAAGUCCUUAUACAAAUACACACAACACAGCCCACACAACACAGCCCGAAAGAGAAUCUCUCUUCCUCCUUCUCUGCUCUGCCUUUUUUUUUUUUUUUUUGGUCCUUCAGUUUAUACCCAAAAUCCGUUGUGAGAUCCACCGCAUCAUCGCUCAGCCUUCUUAGAAUUCAUUCUCAAAAUUUUACGAUUCCUUUGGAUGGCAAUCGAAGAAGAAGUGGAGAGCUGUGGCAGCAGAGCCGUGAGUUCAUCGCAGGGGCAGACUCGGCAUCACAGACAGAAACUUGAUGUGUAUAACGAGGUUCUUCAUCGAAUCCAAGAAUCGAAUUUUGAAGAGGCUAGUCUUCCUGGUUUUGAUGAUCAGCUUUGGCUCCAUUUCAAUCGCCUUCCUGCCAGAUACGCAUUGGAUGUAAACGUGGAGAGGGCAGAAGAUGUGCUUACACAUAAGAGAUUGCUGCAAUUAGCUAAAGACCAUGCCGAUCGACCUGCUAUUGAAGUUCGAAUCGUGCAGGUAUAUCCUGUUGAUUCUGAUUCUUCAAUGAAAGAAGAUGCACAGAGUUCUUUUAAUAAUUCAGGCGGACAGGGGAUACAUCCACCACCUACCUUUGGUUCAUCGCCUAAUCUUGAAGCACUUGCACUUCAAUCAAACAGAUAUCUUGUUGAAGAUGGGGAUAGUGCUAUGAGCGAGACACCUUACUUUCCUAGGCCUAUGCAUGAGAUUACCUUUUCAACAGCUGACAAGCCUAAACUCCUUAGUCAGUUAACUUCAUUACUUUCUGAGAUUGGAUUAAACAUUCAAGAAGCUCAUGCUUUUUCAACUGUCGAUGGAUUCUCUCUGGAUGUUUUCGUUGUUGAUGGUUGGCGUUGUGAGGAAACUGAGGAGCUUAGAGGUGCUUUGGAAAGGGAAAUAUCAAAAUAUAAGGAGCAAUCUUCUUCAAAACAGAAUCCAGGUGCUGUUGAUAUUGAUAUUGGAAAUGAACAAGCAAAAUUGGAGCCCUUAUGUAAUGUUUUAGAAAUACCGACUGAUGGAAUCGAUGUAUGGGAAAUAGAUUCCAGUCUGCUGAAAUUUGAGAAUAAACUUGGAUCUGGGUCAUAUGGUGAUCUGUAUAAAGGAUCAUAUUGUAGUCAGGAAGUUGCUGUCAAAGUCCUCAAACCUGAGCGUGUCACUGCAGAGAUGCUGGGAGAGUUUUCACAGGAAGUUUACAUAAUGAGGAAAAUUCGGCAUAAGAAUGUUGUGCAAUUUCUUGGUGCAUGCACUCAACAUCCAAAUCUGUGCAUUGUGACUGAGUUUAUGUCCAGAGGAAGCCUAUAUGACUUUUUGCAUAAGCAAAAGGGCGUAUUUAAUCUUGCUUCUCUACUUAAAGUAGCAAUUGAUAUUUCUAAGGGGAUGAACUAUUUGCAUCAGAAUAACAUAAUCCACAGGGACCUCAAGACUGCCAAUCUUCUGAUGGAUGAAAAUGAGGUUGUUAAGGUUGCUGAUUUUGGGGUUGCCAGAGUCCAAGCUCAGUCCGGAGUUAUGACAGCUGAAACUGGAACAUACCGCUGGAUGGCACCUGAGGUAAUUGAACAUAAACCAUAUGAUCACAAGGCAGAUGUUUUCAGUUUCGGGAUAGUUCUUUGGGAGCUUCUAACUGGAGAACUUCCAUAUUCAUUGUUGACUCCAGUACAAGCAGCAGUUGGUGUGGUACAAAAGGGUCUACGACCUACAAUACCUAAGAACACUCAUCCAAGGGUUGCAGAACUACUUGACAGAUGUUGGCAGCAAGACCCAACUCGGAGACCUAACUUCUCUGAAAUUAUAGAGAUCCUAAAGCAUAUAGCGAAGGAGGGGAAUGAUAAACAAGACCGGAACAAGGACAGAUCUGCAGGCAGGAUUUUUUCUGCACUGAAAUGGGUCAAUCACUGAAGAUGUGAAAUUUCUUUUGAAGAUAUGUAAUGGGUUAGGUUGAACUCAACGCACCAGACCAGUGGUCUCUAUCUUACCAACCACGAGCCAAGAGGAGAAAACAUUGCUCCAGAUGGCAGUGCUAUUUGCGUGGACGUCUGGUAAAUAUAUCUGAAGACUUGGUAGAUCGGCCAUUACUGGAUGUGCUGAGCAGCUGCCGAGCACGAACAUUGACUUGCAGUCGAACGAGUGAA